rnacentral:rRNA from 1 species
AGCGAACGCUGGCGGCAGGCCUAACACAUGCAAGUCGAACGGACCCUUCGGGGUUAGUGGCGGACGGGUGAGUAACACGUGGGAACGUGCCUUUAGGUUCGGCAUAGCUCCUGGAAACGGGUGGUAAUGCCGAAUGUGCCCUUCGGGGGAAAGAUUUAUCGCCUUUAGAGCGGCCCGCGUCUGAUUAGCUAGUUGGUGAGGUAACGGCUCACCAAGGCGACGAUCAGUAGCUGGUCUGAGAGGAUGAGCAGCCACACUGGGACUGAGACGCGGCCCAGACUCCUACGGGAGGCAGGAGUGGGGAAUCUUGCGCAAUGGGCGAAAGCCUGACGCAGCCAAGCCGGGUGAAUGAUGAAGGUCGUAGGAUUGUAAAAUUCUUUCACCGGGGACGAUAAUGACGGUACCCGGAGAAGAAGCCCCGGCUAACUUCGCG